rnacentral:rRNA from 1 species
GAUGAACGCUGGCGGCGUGCUUAACACAUGCAAGUCGAACGAUGAUGCCCAGCUUGCUGGGUGGAUUAGUGGCGAACGGGUGAGUAACACGUGAGUAACCUGCCCUUGACUCUGGGAUAAGCCUGGGAAACUGGGUCUAAUACCGGAUACGACCAUCUGGCGCAUGUCAUGGUGGUGGAAAGCUUUGGUGGUUUUGGAUGGACUCGCGGCCUAUCAGCUUGUUGGUGGGGUAAUGGCCUACCAAGGCGACGACGGGUAGCCGGCCUGAGAGGGUGACCGGCCACACUGGGACUGAGACACGGCCCAGACUCCUACGGGAGGCAGCAGUGGGGAAUAUUGCACAAUGGGCGCAAGCCUGAUGCAGCGACGCCGCGUGAGGGAUGACGGCCUUCGGGUUGUAAACCUCUUUCAGUAGGGAAGAAGCGAAAGUGACGGUACCUGCAGAAGAAGCGCCGGCUAACUACGUG